GGCUCAGAACGAACGCUGGCGGCGUGCUUUACACAUGCAAGUCGAGUGCGCGGUUGUAGCAAUACAACUGGCGCACGGCGCACGGGUGCGUAACACGUGGGUAACCUGCCCUUUGGUGGGGAAUAACUCCGCGAAAGCGGAGCUAAUUCCGCAUAAGAUCCGCAAGGAUGAAAGUCGCAAGGCGCCGAUGGAGGGGCCCGCGCCCGAUUAGCUUGUUGGUAGGGUAACGGCCUACCAAGGCUUUGAUCGGUAGCUGGUCUGAGAGGAUGGCCAGCCACACUGGAACUGAGACACGGUCCAGACUCCUACGGGAGGCAGCAGUGGGGAAUCUUGCACAAUGGGCGAAAGCCUGAUGCAGCGACGCCGCGUGGGGGAUGAAGCUUCUCGGGGUGUAAACCCCUUUCGAUCCGGACGAAUGCCCGCAAGGGAUUGACGGUACGGAUAUAAGAAGCCCCGGCUAACUACGUGCCAGCAGCCGCGGUAAGACGUAGGGGGCCAGCGUUGUUCGGAAUUACUGGGUGUAAAGGGUUCGUAGGCGGUGUGGCAAGUUGGGAGUGAAAUCUCUGGGCUUAACCCAGAGGCUGCUUCCAAAACUGCUGUGCUUGAGUGUGAGAGAGGCUCGUGGAAUUGCAGGUGUAGCGGUGAAAUGCGUAGAUAUCUGCAGGAACACCCGUGGCGAAAGCGGCGAGCUGGAUCACUACUGACGCUGAGGAACGAAAGCUAGGGGAGCAAACAGGAUUAGAUACCCUGGUAGUCCUAGCCCUAAACGAUCAGGACUUGGGGUGCCACCCGUUCGGGUGUCGUCCCGGAGCUAACGCGUUAAGUCCUGCACCUGGGGAGUACGGUCGCAAGACUGAAACUC
rnacentral:rRNA from 1 species